AACAGAUAGCAGGAGUAAUGGCGGGACAUUAAGCAUCCCUCGAGGGCGGAAACACCUCGCUGCUGUCCGUCACCCUCUGCUCCGCCUGAUGGGGCCCCGUCCUGACCCAGGACCACUGGAUAAGCCAAGACCAUCUCCCGUCUGAGGACCCCUGACUCCCUUACCUGAGAUCCCGUCUUUGAAUGUAGAACCCAUUUGCUCGAAGAAGGUUUCGUUCGUCUGCCCACCUCCCAUCUGGACUGUGAGCCCUGAGCACAGACAGGACGGCAGGCCCGGCCCCCAGGCGCACAGCCAGCAAGGGGGCGGGACUUCCCCCCGGAGCCUCCGGAGAAGAGCCGGCCCCCCACACCUGUGAGAGCCGGAGCGGGAAACCCAGCAGGACUUUGCCAAACCUCCGCCCUGCAGAGCUGGGAGCUGGCAAACCGCCGCUGCGUUAAGCCGAUGGCCGAGCGCAUUGAAGACACCAAAUAGAACCCCGACACCCCGGCUGCGCCCACUCCGAGGGGCACGUGCGAGCGGAGGCACCCCAAGUCUGAGCGUGGAGACGGGCACGUGCCCCUGCUGGAGCCCGGAGCGCACACACAACUGGGCUGCGCACAUGGG